rnacentral:precursor_RNA from 1 species
UUUAGAUCCAGAGGAAUUCAAUAAACUAUUAGAAUCUUAGUUAUUAACUAUUAUUUAUUAUUUCUUAUCUAGUCAAAGUCGAUAGGAAUUGAAUAUAGAAAAUAAUAGAAUUUCAAAUCAAUCAAAUCAAUAUUGAAUAUUUUAGAACACAACGAUUAAUAGAGCGAUAUAGAAUUUCGAUUUAUUUAUCACUAAUACAAUUCGAAUAUUAUUAAAUUUGAUAUAUCUUUUAUUAUUUGAGUUUUAGAUAAUUAAAGUUUUCCUUUUUGAAUUCAAAUGACUUUUGAACUUCUUUUUAUUGUAUUAUUUUAUUUGACAUAUAUUUUAUUUCGAAUUACGAAUGGUUAGUUAUAACUAAUGAGACAUUACCCACUUUCAGUCAUAAAGAGGUAAGUAGGAAAGGCGGAAAUUAAGACGACAAAAAGAGAAUCGACCCUUCAAGUAUUCAAAAUUACAUCGAAAAUGUGACAGGUAGAUAUAUAUACCUAGGAUAUCUAUCCAUCUAUAUUGAAUUGCAGAUACAGAAAUGGUACAAUCAUAGUCGAUGGGACCAAAUCCAAAUACGGUUCUCCUGUAGUCCUAUAGAAAAUAGGUACGAAGAAGGUAGGUAAGAGAUAAAAGAAAAGACUUUUUCGAGAUAGGAAUCCGGUAUCUAAUGAAUUCAACGAUUUCAGUAUAAAUGAAAGAAAAAAAGAAACGACAUCACAAUGAAAUUCGAAUCUCACGCAAAAUGAGGGGGGAUAUGGCGAAAUUGGUAGACGCUACGGACUUAAUUAGAUUGGGCCUUGGUAUGGAAACCCGCCGAGUGAGAACUUUCAAAUUCAGAGAAACCCCGGAAUUAAUAAAAAGGGGCAAUCCUGAGCCAAAUCCUGUUUUCUGAAAACAAAGGUUCAGAAAGUGAAAAAGGGGAUAGGUGCAGAGACUCAAUGGAAGCUGUUCUAACAAAUGGAGUUGGCUGCGGUAGUAGAGAAGUCUUUCCAUCAAAAAUUCAGUAAGUAUUAAGUAUAAGUAUUAAGGAUGAGGUGAAGGAUAAACGUAUAUACAUACGUAGUGAAUAGUAUAUUAAAUGAGUAAUGACAGCCCGAAUGAAUCUAUGUUUUUUCUAUGAAAAAACAAAGAAUUGGUGUGAAUAGAUUCUACGUUGAAGAAAGAAUCGAAUAUUCAUUAAUCAAAUGAUUCACUCCAUAGUCUGAUAAAUCUUUUCAAGAACUGAUUAAUCGGACGAGAAUAAAGAUAGAGUCCCAUUCUACAUGUCAAUGCCGGCAGCAAUGAAAUUUAUAGUUAAGAGGAAAAUCCGUCGACUUUUAAAAUCGUGAGGGUUCAAGCCCCUCUAUCCCCAAAUAAACUAUUUGACUCCCAACUAUCUAUUUACCUAUCCCUCUUUUUGUUAUCGGCUCAAAAUUCCUUAUCCAUUCACUCUAUUUUCUUAGAAUUGAUCGGUGCUGAAAUGCCCUUUUCUUAUCACAUCUAUAUGAUAUACAUACAAAUGAACAUCCUUGAGCAAGAAAUACCCAUUUGAAUGAUUUACAAUCUAUAUAAUUACUAAUACUGAAACUCCCAAAGUACUCUUUUUUAAGAUCCAAGCCAAGCAAUUUCAGUACCUAAAUAAAACUUGGGAAUUCCCUUUCCUUCUUUUAAUUGACACAGCCCCCAUUUUCGAGUAAAAUGAGGAUGCUACAUUGGGACUGGUCGGGAGAGCUCAGCUCUAGAGCAGAGGACCGAAAACC